UAUUGCACAAUGGGGGAAACCCUGAUGCAGCGACGCCGCGUGAGCGAAGAAGUGCCUCGGUAUGUAAAGCUCUAUCAGCAGGGAAGAAAGUGACAGUACCUGACUAAGAAGCCCCGGCUAACUACGUGCCAGCAGCCGCGGUAAUACGUAGGGGGCAAGCGUUAACCGGAUUCACUGGGCGUAAAGGGAGCGCAGGCGGCGCGGCAAGUCUGAUGUGAAAGCCCGGGGCUCAACCCCGGGUCUGCAUUGGAAACUGUCGAGCUAGAGUGUCGGAGGGGUAAGCGGAAUUCCUAGUGUAGCGGUGAAAUGCGUAGAAAUUAGGAGGAACACCAGUGGCGAAGGCGGCUUACUGGACGAUGACUGACGCUGAGGCUCGAAAGCGUGGGGAGCAAAC
rnacentral:rRNA from 1 species